rnacentral:lncRNA from 1 species
CUGGAUUGCAACUCACUGAGGCAGAGUCUGUCAUUUGUGCAACAAGUUAAAAAUCAGAAAGCAAUGGGGCAAGAAAUAAAAUUAUUUCUGAUAUAUAGAAUUUAGCUUCAGCUAAUUCAGACCUGCCUUCAUUCCCUGCUCCCAACCCCCUCCAGCCUCCAGCAGCAGCAGCAGCAGCACCAGCAGCAGCAGUGGCAGCAGCAGCGCCCCUGAAGUCUCUUGUGGAAGGCUUUAUCUACCCUUCUAAACCAAAAUCAUUCUGUGGUAUUUCUUCAGAACCUUGGACAAAUCAACAAUGUGUGAGUAUGUGCUUUACAAUCCUUUUACUGCAAUCAUACUGUGAGUUUUAUGACCCAACUUAAGUAGCAUGCACUUCCUUCUUCAGCAAAAUUCAUUAUAUUGUUCCCACAUUAGUGGAACUAGUUAAUAUAGACAUGCUUACUUAAACCCCCACCUCAUUUUCUUUAUAAUUCCCCUGCCAGAAGCAGGAAACAACUAAAAUAGUUUUUUUUUUUAAAACACAAUGUUACAUUUUAAAUUUAUUUUGUAAACUUUUAUUAGAUUUUACUGUGUCAUGUCUUGCACGAGGAAUGAAAAAAAAUAUAUGGACUCUGAGUUAAUAAUAAAGGACUCACAGUCUACCAGGAGAGAUGACACAUGCCCUACUUUCCUAUCCAAAUUAAUUACAUAUAUAGUGUGAUCGAUACUUUAUUAAAAGGUAUGCAGCAAUAGGGGACCGGGGUAGGAUUUCUGAGUUGGAACCCUUCCAGUUAACCUUCUCAGCCUCCAGGGUUUUAGAAUAAAAUAUCCCAAAGCAACAACAGAUCCUGGCCAGUUUUCUGUUUUCCCAUUUCCUUCCCACCUCCACCUGAUUUACCCACCUAGCUACUGAUGUUGAGUGGAAUAGCCACAGUGAGAGAGACCAGUUGGCUUUAAUCAGAGUUCCAGUUUUCGUUACCACAUGCAGAAAGAGAAGGUAGAACCAGAAUUCAGGCCUCUAAGACUCAGUAACCCAGCUCAGUAGAUAAAAGUAAAUUAGUAAAUAUGGUAACCAAAUGAGUGUCUGGACAAACAGGCCAGCAACUCUCUUGAGGGGCAAGUUCUUGCUCCACCACUCCUGAGUGGGAAGGGGGGCUGGGCAGGUGUGUAAAAAUGCAGGCAUGGCAUCUAUAGAGUGCCAGCCCUGGGCAUGGGGAAGGCAGCAUGUGUCAAGGAGCUCUUCAAAGAAGAGGUGAAAUGAGAGCAGAGUCUUGAUGUGUGAGAAGAAAUCUCAUGCAGGAAUUGGGCAAGAGAAGCUUCCUAGACAGAGAACAGCAUAUCUGAUCAACUGUUGGGGAUAAGAAAUGAGGCUAGAGAGAAAGCCAGGGGCUCAGAUAGUAGAAGGUGCUAGGGAACUACUGAAGACUAGCAAGGGAGCAAUAGAGGCAAUUUUGUGUUAUAGAAAGAUAAUUCUGACAGAAAUGUGAUGGGUAGAUUGAUGGGGACAGGUGUGGUGGAGAAGGAAGAAGCUAUAUCACCUAUGUUGAAAUCAUCCGGGUAAGAAAUGAGAAAGACUUGAAAAAUAAAUAGGCCAUGUUUGCAUGAAACAAAGAAAAGGGAAUAUAUAUUUAAGACAUGUUUUAGGAUGUAUUCCUUUUUUUAAUCCUAAACUCACCAGUUAGGUAAAUCACUACCUAGGGAAGCAGCAGAGACAGGCCAAAAGGGUUACUUUAAUGGAGCACUCUCCACAAAGAAACACCAGGAAUAGGGAAUAAAUGAUCCGAGCAACAUUAAUUUCAGGCAACUUGCAGUUCUUUCCUUCCCUUGGGGUCACUGCUCAACUCUGUGGGCUGUCUUAGUCCAUUCAGGAGCUGCUAUAACUAAAUAUCUUAGACUGGGUAAUUUAUAAACAAUAUAAAUGUAUUGUUCACAGUUCUGGAGGCUGGAAAGUGCAAGAUCAAGGUGCCAGCAGAUUUAGCUUCUGGUGAGGGCUUGCUCUCUGCUUCAAAGAUGGCGACUUCUUGCUGCAUCCUCACAAGGCAGAAGGGGCAAACAGGUUCCCUGAAGCCUCUUUCAUAAGGGUACUAAUCCCAUUCACCAGGAUGGAGCCUCAUGACCUAAUCACCUCCCCAGAGCCCUACCUCUUAAUACUGGUAUCUUGGGGGUUAGGUUUCAAUAUAUGAAAUUAAGGGCUGGGCACAAACACUCAGACCACAGCAGAGGCUUAUCUAGUGCUAAGGCACUCUGGGUUAAGAUGUUCUAAUGUUAUUGUCCGAAUUGAUUUCCAU